UGCUGCAGUGUUGUGCAGAGAGAAGCGUGUAGCCAGCGCAGCAGCAAAACGGCUGUGUCUGUGCCUGCCCUGUGGGGAUAGAGAUUUUUGUGGAUUUGUUGGCA